UACGAAGGGUGCUAGCGUUGUUCGGAAUUACUGGGCGUAAAGCGCGCGUAGGCGGCUAUUCAAGUCAGGGGUGAAAUCCUUGGGCUCAACCCAAGAAUUGCCUUUGAAACUGUGUAGCUAGAGUGUCGGAGGGGAUAGCGGAAUUCCUAAUGUAGAGGUGAAAUUCGUAGAUAUUAGGAGGAACACCGGUGGCGAAGGCGGCUAUCUGGACGACAACUGACGCUGAGGCGCGAAAGCACGGGGAUCAAACAGG
rnacentral:rRNA from 1 species